GUGAAUCAUCGAAUUUUUGAACGCAUAUUGCACUCUCUGGUAUUCCGGAGAGUAUGCCUAUUUGAGGGUCAGUUGAAAUAAUAUAAAUUCUAUGAUUUCUUGGAAUUUAAAAUGGGUUGGCCUUUCUUUGUGGUCGCAUAAAGUCUAAGACAACCUCAUUUUCUUGGUUUUCGUGUUACUUUCAGUUAAAU
rnacentral:misc_RNA from 1 species